AAUAUACCCAGGUAGUCCACGCCGUAAACGAUGUCGAUUUGGAGGUUGUGCCCUUGAGGCGUGGCUUCCGGAGCUAACGCGUUAAAUCGACCGCCUGGGGAGUACGGCCGCAAGGUUAAAACUCAAAUGAAUUGACGGGGGGCCCGCACAAGCGGUGGAGCAUGUGGUUUAAUUCGAUGCAACGCGAAGAACCUUACCUGGUCUUGACAUCCACAGAACUUAGCAGAGAUGCUUUGGUGCCUUCGGGAACUGUGAGACAGGUGCUGCAUGGCUGUCGUCAGCUCGUGUUGUGAAAUGUUGGGUUAAGUCCCGCAACGAGCGCAACCCUUAUCCUUUGUUGCCAGCGGUUAGGCCGGGAACUCAAAGGAGACUGCCAGUGAUAAACUGGAGGAAGGUGGGGAUGACGUCAAGUCAUCAUGGCCCUUAUGACCAGGGCUACACACGUGCUACAAUGGCGCAUACAAAGAGAAGCGACCUCGCGAGAGCAAGCGGACCUCAUAAAGUGCGUCGUAGUCCGGA
rnacentral:rRNA from 1 species